rnacentral:rRNA from 1 species
AUUGAACGCUGGCGGCAUGCUUUACACAUGCAAGUCGAACGGUAACAGGCCGCAAGGUGCUGACGAGUGGCGCACGGGUGAGUAAUGCAUCGGAACGUGCCCAGUCGUGGGGGAUAACUACUCGAAAGAGUAGCUAAUACCGCAUACGAUCUAUGGAUGAAAGCGGGGGACCGUAAGGCCUCGCGCGAUUGGAGCGGCCGAUGUCAGAUUAGGUAGUUGGUGGGGUAAAGGCUCACCAAGCCAACGAUCUGUAGCUGGUCUGAGAGGACGACCAGCCACACUGGGACUGAGACACGGCCCAGACUCCUACGGGAGGCAGCAGUGGGGAAUUUUGGACAAUGGGCGCAAGCCUGAUCCAGCAAUGCCGCGUGCAGGGAGAAGGCCUUCGGGUUGUAAACUGCUUUUGUACGGAACGAAACGGCUCUGGUUAAUACCCGGGGCUAAUGACGGUACCGUAAGAAUAAGCACCGGCUAACUACGUG